GACGAACGCUGGCGGCGUGCCUAAUACAUGCCAGUAGAACGCACAGUUUAUACCGUAGCUUGCUACACCAUAGACGGUGAGUUGCGAACGGGUGAGUAACGCGUAGGUAACCUGCCUGGUAGCGGGGGAUAACUAUUGGAAACGAUAGCUAAUACCGCAUAAUAUUAAUUAUUGCAUGAUAAUUAAUUGAAAGGUGCAAUUGCACCACUACCAGAUGGACCUGCGUUGUAUUAGCUAGUAGGUGAGGUAACGGCUCACCUAGGCGACGAUACAUAGCCGACCUGAGAGGGUGAUCGGCCACACUGGGACUGAGACACGGCCCAGACUCCUACGGGAGGCAGCAGUAGGGAAUCUUCGGCAAUGGACGAAAGUCUGACCGAGCAACGCCGCGUGAGUGAAGAAGGUUUUCGGAUCGUAAAGCUCUGUUGUAAGAGAAGAACGGGUGUGAGAGUGGAAAGUUCACACUGUGACGGUAUCUUACCAGAAAGGGACGGCUAACUACGUG
rnacentral:rRNA from 1 species